UACGAAGGGGGCUAGCGUUGUUCGGAAUUACUGGGCGUAAAGGGCGCGUAGGCGGCGCGACAAGUCACUUGUGAAAUCUCUGGGCUUAACUCAGAACGGCCAAGUGAAACUGUUGUGCUAGAGUGCAGAAGGGGCAAUCGGAAUUCUCGGUGUAGCGGUGAAAUGCGUAGAUAUCGAGAGGAACACCAGAGGUGAAGACGGGUUGCUGGGCUGACACUGACGCUGAGGCGCGAAAGCCAGGGGAGCAAACGGG
rnacentral:rRNA from 1 species